rnacentral:lncRNA from 1 species
AAUUAGAUUGUUUGCAUGGUAAUCUGAAUCUGUCCAUUCACAUGCGUUAUACCUGUUCUGUUAUGCUUAUGAUUGGACUACAAGCUUGUUUCCGUUGCUAUUUACUAUCUCAUGGCUAUUCUUCUCAGUAGACUCAAUUGCCAUUAGUCCCGUUCGAUAGAGGAAAGUCGAGUUCAUUUGAUUUUUCAGAUUUGAGGACGAAUCUUUUUGAGGAAGGGGGAAUGAUACGAGUCACAAAAGCCCAAAUUCUUGAAGGCGAG